AGAGUCUCUAGUCGAUAGAAUAAUGUAGGUAAGGGAAGUCGGCAAAUUAGAUCCGUAACUUCGGGAUAAGGAUUGGCUCUGAAGAUUGAGAUAGUCGGGCUUGAUUGGGAAACAAUAACAUGGUUUAUGUGCUCGUUCUGGGUAAAUAGAGUUUCUAGCAUUUAUGUUAGUUACUUGUUCCCCGGAUAGUUUAGUUACGUAGCCAAUUGUGGAACUUUCUUGCUAAAAUUUUUAAGAAUACUAUUUGGGUUAAACCAAUUAGUUCUUAUCAAUUAUAACGAUUAUCAAUUAACAAUCAAUUCAGAACUGGCACGGACUUGGGGAAUCCGACUGUCUAAUUAAAACAAAGCAUUGUGAUGGCCCUAGCGGGUGUUGACACAAUGUGAUUUCUGCCCAGUGCUCUGAAUGUCAAAGUGAAGAAAUUCAAGUAAGCGCGGGUCAACGGCGGGAGUAACUAUGACUCUCUUAAGGUAGCCAAAUGCCUCGUCAUCUAAUUAGUGACGCGCAUGAAUGGAUUAACGAGAUUCCUACUGUCCCUAUCUACUAUCUAGCGAAACCACAGCCAAGGGAACGGGCUUGGAAUAAUUAGCGGGGAAAGAAGACCCUUUUGAGCUUGACUCUAAUCUGGCAGUGUAAGGAGACAUAAGAGGUGUAGAAUAAGUGGGAGAUAUUAGACCUCGGUUUGGUAUCGUCAAUGAAAUACCACUACUCUUAUUGUUUCCUUACUUACUUGAUUAAAUGGAACGUGUAUCAUUUCCUAGCCAUUAUACGGAUAUAUUUAUUAUAUCUAUGGUAUUGAGUUUUGAUGCAAGCUUCUUGAUCAAAGUAUCACGAGUUUGUUAUAUAAUCGCAAACAAAUUCUUUAAUAAAACGAUGCAUUUAUGUAUUUUUGAUUUGAAAAUUUGGUAUAACUCCAAUUACUCAGGUAUGAUCCAAUUCAAGGACAUUGCCAGGUAGGGAGUUUGACUGGGGCGGUACAUCUCUCAAAUAAUAACGGAGGUGUCCCAAGGCCAGCUCAGUGCGGACAGAAACCACACAUAGAGCAAAAGGGCAAAUGCUGACUUGAUCUCGGUGUUCAGUACACACAGGGACAGCAAAAGCUCGGCCUAUCGAUCCUUUUGGUUUAAAGAGUUUUUAACAAGAGGUGUCAGAAAAGUUACCAUAGGGAUAACUGGCUUGUGGCGGCCAAGCGUUCAUAGCGACGUCGCUUUUUGAUCCUUCGAUGUCGGCUCUUCCUAUCAUUGUGAAGCAAAAUUCACCAAGCGUUGGAUUGUUCACCCAUGCAAGGGAACGUGAGCUGGGUUUAGACCGUCGUGAGACAGGUUAGUUUUACCCUACUAAUGACAAAACGUUGUUGCGACAGCAUUCCUGCGUAGUACGAGAGGAACCGCAGGUACGGACCAAUGGCACAAUACUUGUUCGAGCGAACAGUGGUAUGACGCUACGUCCGUUGGAUUAUGCCUGAACGCCUCUAAGGUCGUAUCCGUGCUGGACUGCAAUGAUAAAUAAGGGGCAAUUUGCAUUGUAGUGGCUUCUAAACCAUUUAAAGUUUAUAAUUUAUUUUAUAAA
rfam:Drosophila sechellia strain Rob3c scaffold_8652 genomic scaffold, whole genome shotgun sequence.